rnacentral:lncRNA from 1 species
AAAUCGACGAUCGGCUCCGUUAGACUUGAUCUAACGUAUUUGAAGUUUCUAGAAAAUAAUUUUUGCGAUUUUUUGAUAUCAUUUACCUAGCAAUCGAAAGGAUUUAAAAUCAAUAAUUUUUAAUGGCUAAAAAUAAAAAUUCUAUAAAAAGCGGUGAUAUAGCACUAAAAUUUUCAAUCUGAAAUAUUGAUCUUGUUGUAGAUAGUAUAAAGAAUUUUGUAUCAAAAUUUUAUCUGAUUUGAAUAAUUCUACACCGUUAAACUUGAAAACGGCAGAUAUCAACCAUUAAAAAUUAUUGAUUGUGAAUUAUUUCGAUUACUAGGUAAAUGAUAUCAAAAAAUUGCAAAAAUUAUUUUCUAGAAAUUUCAAAUACGCUAAAUCAAGUCUAACGGAGCCGAUCGUCGAUUCAGAAAUUUCAUCAUCGAAAACGACUCAGAAA